GGUGCGUAGUUUAAAUAGCAAACCAAUGGAACGAUGUGCCACCUCCGCCCCUGGCCUGCACGAACAAAGCAUGCAGGCAUCUGGAAAUCAGCAUGUAUUGACUUUGACUACCUCAGAAAAAGAAAAGAAACAGCAGAGGGACCUUAAGGAAAAGUGCUGCCUGUGACUCAGCUCCUUUUGUGACUCAGAUUUAAAAAAAAACUAGCAUGGGUUGUGACAAAAUGGGGAGUAGGAGGUUGAAGACAGGAAACCGCCGAAAGAUCACAAUCCUGCAUUUAACUCUGUAAUAGGGAAAGAUCCCGAUAUAGCAUGGCGCCUACUGCCAUCUGUUGAGCAUGGUGUAGAAUGGCGUUGACAAGGCUAUUGAUGUUUUUAAAAGUAAUCUGACCAUUAUGCUGAAAUUGAAGAUAAAUACAGAAUACUUCGAGUCGAAGUUGGCAGAAAAAAAUCGUAUGAAAAAGGGUCUUGAACUCAUCUUUAUUAGAGAGAGGACAUUUCCUUUGUGAAUGACUGCAAGGAUUAUUAUGCCUCUUACGGACCUCCCGAAGAAAUAUUUUGCUAUUCAGCCCUAGGAAGAACAGGCAAGUCAGUCUGGAGUUCUUAAUAAAGGUUGUCCUUCGGCAUACACUUAAAGGAAGCCAAGACUGGUAUUUAUAAAGAAAAAAGCAAGCUGAGUCAAUGUACUCAUGUUCUCAGAAUAUUUCCCAGCACCAAGUACAGCAUGAAUUGUGCAGAAAUCUCUCAGAGGAAAAACUCAAUCAAGAACCACAUUAUUGAUUAUAAUGGAUUCUGCAAUUGUCUUCCAGUCUGCAGAGAAAAAACACACAUUUUCUGCAAGACUCCCUGGAGAUGAGAAGUGGAAAUAUAGGCUAUACGCUUGAAAAUGGAUUAAAGUUUAUGGAAAAUAUUAUUGAAAUUAGAGGGAUGAAGCCCCAAAUAAGAUUGAGAACCAAAUAAUACUGAAAUUACAAUAGCAAAACAAUGAAGACGGCAUAUGCAAAAUUUAAGGAUUUGCCACAACAUAAAAGAAGGUAUUUCCCAGGCAAUUCUGGGAUUUCCUACUGAGUCCUGCUAUUUUAAAUCAGCAGCCAAGAUGUUCGCCAGUAAUUUUCCAACCCCAUCCUAUGGUUUGUCACUGUGGAAGAGUAAGCAGCUAGCAAGAUUGCAGGUACCUGUGCUGCCUUCUACCCUCCUAUUUGAUCCUUCUCCCCAGCAUCAGCAGGGCAAAACUGCUUAUAAAAUCUGCAAUCUUGAAAGAGAUAGUGGAGGAGACAAGCAUGCUUUGCAAACUCUGCAUCAGCCACCAUAACCCCCCAAAGCAGCCAAAUAUAGGAAGGGGUUUCUUUUCAUGAAAAUGGAAGGAUCAAGAAGAAAAAGAAGAGACAAAGCAAAACAAAGUGAAACAUACUGUUGGAAAGGUGUCGAUGCUUUACGUGUCCAUUAAUAAAGAAGAAAAUACCAAUAGAAGAAAUCUCAGAGACAGAAGAUUGAAAGACAGACCAAGUUCUAUAAUCGGUAAAAUACUGUUGUAUACUAGUAAUAGUAAUAGCAUAGUUAGUAGCAAUAGCAUGCUUGUAGCAGAAAUUGUAUAAUAUAGCAUAGAAGAAUAAGUAAUAGUAUAUGGUGUAAUAAUAGAAUAUAGUAAAGAUAACAUUACAUAGUAUAAAUAAUAAUAGACAUUAUAAAUAAAAUAUAGUAUAAGACAGUAAACGUAGAAAAGCUUGUGCAUAUAAGGUUUGUAUGUUUCACUUUUGUGUGUUAGAUAGUUUUUCAAACAUCUCCCCAACUCUUACAGGGAGAUUUUAAAAAGUCCAAUUGUCUAGGACAGGGAUCCCCAACCUUUAUGGCCGCGACCUAGUAUCAGGUCUCAGCCUGUUCAGAACCAGGGAGCGCAAGAGGCAAGCAAGUAUGUGUGUGCAUGCAGCUCCACUUGCGAAAGCAGCCGGUGAGCAUGUGUGCACGCAAAACUCCAUUUGUGUGUCUGGCAUGGGUGCACACCUGCCACUUGCACAAAUGGAGCUGAACAUGCGCUCGCCUGCCACUCACAUGUAACCAUCCCCUGUCCCCCCUCCCUGCUGCUGUUGGUCCGCAAAGCCAGAAAGGUUGGGAACUGUUGGUCUAGGAUCCUGUGGUUUUGCUGGAUCUUUUCAGUUUGAGUCAAAUUAACUAAAAAAAAAAAACCCUACCUCUGACAAUCAGAAAUGUAUUGAGAAGUAAAUGUGUAAAUUCAUUUUAAUUAAAUAGUUACAUUUUUUAAAUGUAAUUGCAGCAGUACUGUAGUACAAGUGCUGAGCCUUGAACUUUUACUGACAAAUAUUUUAAACACCUGGAGAUAGAAUAAUAUUGGUGACAGGGAUUCUAGGUAAUAUUUUCUUCGGGCUUUGAAUUAGAAAAAACUAUGGAUAAUGUUAAAAAGCAUGAAAAUAUCCUUAGAACUGACAGCUAUUAAAGUGCAUCUGCAGGCUAUUUUUCAAAGAUGAAUUGUACUACUCAAGUACCCUGUCUGAGAUAGUUAAUAGCACAUUCCUCAGCCUCUUUUACAUGCAUUUUGUAAAUUUGAAGAGGUAAAGUCCCAAAGGAGAUAUUUAGAAGGACACAGAAGAAAGAAAAGAGCUGUAGCAUCAUUUUUAAAAUUAUUUGUAGACGUUCUUUAGGACAUGUUAACAUUAUUGACAGAACCAAUGUUGCCUGGCGCUUAAGUCAAUUUUUCUCAACCUUGGCAAUUUUAACAUGGGUGAAAUUCAUUUCCCAGAAUUCCCCAGUAAAGCCCACUGAACUUAAAAGUUGCUAAGAUUGAGAAAUACUGACUUAAGCUAUUGGAAUAAGAAUGGGUAAACCAUGAUACAUAUUUCCUCUCAGCCACAGAAAUUUGCUGGAUGAGAUUGGGCUGGUCACUAUCUCUUAGCCCAGCCUACCUCACAGGAUUCUUGGGAGGAAAAAUUGUAGGUGGGAAUCUUACCCAUACUGCCACAAAAUUUUGGAGGGGAGAUAUAAAUCUAACAAACAGCUAAAUCAUAAUCUUAUCAAUUUCAAAAAUGGAAGAUAGUCAUUGGCAUACAGGUUUACCCACUGCCCAGUUAUGUUUUAUACUGCAAAAGUCCACCAACAUGACUUGAUUUAAUGGUGAUACCCACAUUUUCUUGCCAUUUUAUUCAGGAAAUGACAUGAGCUUUCGAUAAAGCCCAGUAAUACUUAAUGAUAACGUCAUAGUAAGAUUCAAAUAAGUUCUUGCUUUAGAGAAGUGUGAUCCCUGUACAAAAAUGGCUAAUCAUUUUUAAAGGCUCACUUCCUUUCACUACAGUAGUAUUAACAAUAGCAUUAGAUUUCUUAUGGUCAAUCUGAAAACAAAGGAUUUAUUAAAUACAUUGCAAAUAAACUCUUUCAAUAGCAGAUGGUCAGUUCAUUCAGUGCAAUGAUUUAGUUAUCUGAUCAUCUCAUAAGAUAUACAUGUGGGCCUUGAAGUAACAUUCUUAAAGUAAGUUCUAAACCUGCAUGGGACUCUGACAAAGAAAUGAAAAUAAACUUAGAAAUGAAUUAAGUUAAAUUAAUCUAACAUUACUGCAUCCUGUGAAUGUUACCCUCCCCCAUCUUUUCUACUGAAAACUACAAUUUGGUGUCAUCUUUCUGGAGGUUAGAUUUAAAGUUUUUGGAAUUUGAAGCAGCUCUGGGGCUUCAUGUUAUGCAUUCUGAUCACAGGGCCUUCGGUGGUUAAUAUUUUGAGUUUAUUAAAACAGACUUUAAACAACAUUUUCCCUAGAUUUUAAAAACUAGCUCUGGUAUGGGAAAUGGGACACGGUAAAGAAUUUUAAAAGCCACUAUGAAGAUAAAGGCCAUGUUCCUUAUAACAUUUGGAAGAGUAGAUAUUGCUUAUCUGGGGUUCCCCCCCUCUUUUUUUUUUCCAUUAAAGAAAGAUUUUUACAGUCAAAUUAAAUGGGAGGGAAAUACUCCAAAAGAGCCAAAAAUUGAAGUACAGCAUUGUAUAGAUACUCUAAAAAGGGGGAGAAAAAUAGACACAGCCCAAGAAUUACACUUUAAGGAUCUAUUUUGGAUCUACCAUAGAUGUGAACUGCAUCUAUUGUUAUCAUUGUUCUGUUGAGAAGGAAAAUUUCACUUAGCUAAAUUGCUCUGGAUUUCUCUGUGGCCUCAGGCUGAACUCUGCUCUCAUUCUGACUGCCAAGGCUGUGGUAGAACAUGGUGGCCCUGAAAUCUUGGAGUAGCCUGUUGUUAAUGUGUGGGAUAUCCCUUGUAUAUUGAUGAAUGAUGAGAACUUGGUUUCAUAUAAAUUGCAAGAAGAGAAUUAUUACUCUUUCAGCAUAAAAAAUUAUUAUCUGAAAGGCAUAGCGUGAUAACCCUGAAUGAUAUCUCUUCCUACAGUUUUCACUUUAAUUUACUUGGACAUUUUAUCCCUUUUCUCUGCCAAGAGCUUCUACAAAAGACAAUUACAAAUCCAUUAUAUUUUUAUUGUAGUUGGUCAUGAAGAUGCUUUACAUGUCUACAAAAGUAAUCUGCUCAGAAGGACAUAGAGGUUGUGGGUAGUGUUUUGGAAAAAGACUGUGAUGAGAGAUGCAUAUAAGCUCUAGUUAUGACAUAGGAAGCAGUUUGUUCUGCAUUGCUAGCAAGUUAGUGAAUUAUAUAGUUCCCAUAUUGAUUUUUGGCACAGAACAUGUAGGAAUCAAAUUCAACAGACAUCAGAAUUUAUACUAGAAUGGAAAAUAAUAUUAUUAGAAAGAAUUAUUUGUUUUUUAGGCAUGUCAUUGAAAGCUUUACUUUUGAUUUAUCUUAUAUUAUCCAUGACCACCUAAUUGGAAAUCCAGAAAAAUAUAAUAAAAGUCUUCAGAGUAAAUGUUUGCAAACAGCAAAUAUUUUCCUGUUUAUCUUAAAUAAAUUGAGCCAAACAAAUAUUUUAUUGUCAAAAGAAGAUGCUGCCUAUUAAAAAAAACACUUUUUCUAUUUACUGAUCAUUUUGUCCUAUUCAAACAGAGUGCUUUAUCUGCAAUUAUAAAAAAGAAAGAGUCAAUCAGCAAAAGAUUUAGGUAGCAUCCUUCUUUGAUUCUAUGACUAUAUCUUUAUUGAUGGUGGAAUGAAUGUUUUCUGAAGAAGUCACAUUGGACCCAAGGCAACUUUAUAUCUAACCUUUAUUAUUUUUACAAAUAAUUCAAGGUGGCAAACAUAUCUAAAAUAUCUUCCUCUUCCUAUUUUCUUCACAACCAUUUGUUAACCCAGAACAGUAGUGAAAACACAUAAUGAUAGCAGAAGCUGCUGAGAAAAGAGCCUUAAAAAGGAUUAGUUAAAGCAUAAUUACAGAAAUAUAAUGGGAAAAAUUGACAACAGUAGCAGAUCCAUUUAAUGAAAAUCUGGAAAAUCAAAGGGGUACAUAUAAAAAGUGGAAGGUCAAGAAGGAGGAAUGUGUAGCUGGGAAGCUAAAACAUGCAGUGAAAUUAGAAAGGAUUGCUAAGACUGCAAACUACCCGUAUACCAGCUAACUAAGCGAAGGAUAAAGAAGAAUAGAACUAUUGAAGACACGACAGGUAGUUUUGAUUUACUUUUCAUUUAACAACCAUUCAGAGUUACAGUGGCACUGAAAAAAGUGAUCAUUUUUCACACUUAUGACCAU